GGAUCUGUUCCAGCAAACUGCAGCAGCAGAUGAAGCUGCUUUAGAGCCUUUUGCUGUACUGAAUGAUGUCUUGACUUGUGAGGAGCGUUGGGGCAGUGGAUAGAGCUCUCAAUCUGAUUGUGAAUUGGGACAAAUGAUUUGUAGCUUAAAGGUGGUGAGUUUAGGGGUCACAAGAUUGUGUUUGGGUCAAGUCAGAGGUGGAAGAGACUGGACAUCAAGUUUGUUGUUGGAUCUUGAAAGGAAAGGAUCAUGGUGGUUUUGCUGAGUGUGGGCUUGGUGAUUUGAGUUGGGCUGUGUGAGAGGGUCUGAAGAGCAACAUUUAUUGUUUGUCUUCCAAGCCUACAAGAUGAGAGUGGGGGUGAUUGUGGUCAGCCUGCUAGCAAAUGAUGAAGAGCCGACAGUAGUUUUCAGAAGUUUGAAAACUCGCAUGUCACCUCAAGGAUCAUACUAUUACUGAGACUGCUGCAGUUGGUGGAGUCCCCUUGGUCUAUGAAACUCCUGCAAGCCACCCCAGACACUUAAAGCUUUCAUUAAAAAGUUGCCGCUGAGGGUAAAAGCAGGAAUGAUUUUCUCUUGGGAUCCUGGUGGAAAUAAGAAGAAAAAGAGAACUGACAAAUGAUAGAUGUUACAUUCCCCUAGGAGUUGAUGUUCCCACAAAUAACCAGCAAAACAAUAGCUGAGGAAGUGAUUGCUCUUUUCUAACAUCUGAAGAACGAUAACUUGUAAAGGAAAUAAGUUAUUUUAAGGUGGGAAAAUAACGUGGACCGUGAGCAGUCCAAACAGGUACUGCUUUCUCCUGGAAUGUUUCUAACAUAUUUACUUGUCCCCUCUAUUUCAG
rnacentral:lncRNA from 1 species